CAGAUCAAAGAACGUCGAAUCGGAAUAAAAGAUUCCCAAAGCCAAGAACCCCAAGACACCUUCGGAUAAUGAUGACAAUGCUUGUUGAAGGCCAACGCAGUAGUGACAUUCCCUUGCAACGAGGGUUUCCAGAAACGCACAUCUCCCUCAUAACCAAGAGGAGUGAGUAAAAUAUCACACACUAUCUCAGGAAAAGCAUUAACAAAGGCUUGCGUGAAAUGCC
rnacentral:lncRNA from 1 species